GUGAGGAUGGGCCCAAUUGGUGCUGGCUGGGGGCCAGCAGCCAACAAAAUGGAUGAGACUUAACUAAGAAUUGAAUCAAACAGGAACAAAACAGGGGCUGCGUGACUCUGCUUUUAUAGAGUCACACUCAUUCUGAGUCACUUAGAGCAGGAACAGGUCUCUGUCCACGCUAGGAAGUAAAGCAUGUUGUAAUUGACUGUACAGUCAUACCUCUUGUUACGUUCAGUUCAGGUCUUUUCAGGUUGCAUCCCACAGCGACCCAGAAGUAACGGAACCGGUUACUUCUGGGUUUCGCCGCUCACGCAUGCGCAGACACUCAGACUGACGUCACACGCAUGUGCAGAAGUAGCGAAUCGCGACCCGCAGACGCGGGUUGCGUUCUGCUCAUGUUGCAAACGGGGCUCCGGAACGGAUCCCGUUCGCAACCAGAGGUACCACUGUACUGGUAUAAUGGUAUAACACAUCCCACAAUUAGUAGUAUUUAUUUUAUUUUAUUUUAUUUUUUAUUUCUAUACCGCCCUUCAUCCAAGGAUCGCAGAGUGGUUUACAAUAUAAAAACACAAAAACACAUAACGCAGUAACAAUAAAAAGCAUUGCAAGCCACAUGGAGAAUGUUAGAAUGUGCUGUCCUCCCAGCCUCAGCACUCAUAAGCUGGCAAUAUGCUCUCAAUAUAGUGAGGGCAAGGUUGGCCGACCUUACAAUCAGUGGUGCCUAGGGCUCAUUGGGACUGAUGGGGUGGAAAUAGGGAGACCAAUAGUAGGCGGAGCCAGGGCCAAUGGCAGACACAGUCAGAGCUGAUGACAGACAGUAAGAAGGGCGGAAGGCAGGGAGUCCAACAACAGGUGGAGCCAGAGCCAAUGGCAGUCCAGGUGGAGUCUGAGCUAAUGACAGGCGGCAGGGAGGGUGGAAGUAGGAGGACCAACAGUAGGCGGGGGGUGAAGGGACAUCAGCCCCUAGGAGUUGGCUCAUGCCCUAGAGUGCUUGUAAGUGAGAAAGCCGGCAGGUGGGGGCAAGCUGAAGUUGGUGGGGCAAUGCCCCCUCAACCUUACAAGGCUGGUGUUACCAUGAUGGGGCAUAUAAAGCACUUAAGGGAAAUUGUGAUUAAAAUUAUUGAUAAACUGAUCCAUUAUUUAUACUGUAUGGGAAGUAUUUUAAUAAAAUAUAUUGCCGAUUAAAAGUAAUAUAGCUGUAUCCCUAUUCCUAUUCAGCUGUAUCACUAUUCAAAUAUUUGGAUGUUAGACGUCAUUCAUUGCCUAUGUUAUGUCGUCAUUACAUUAUUCCGCCCCAUUCAUUUCAAUGCAAAGGAAGUGUCAUGCCAAUGGAGGGGGGGAAGCAAUCAGUUGUGUAUCAUUCAUGGGCUGAAAGCUAUCACAGUAUCAACAGUGAAUACUAGUCAUAUUUGCUGGGUUGAUUUCUGUUCUGGAUGCAGGAUGAAUGAGCAAACACCGGCAACCUCUGCUCCCUAUUCUGCGUCUUCGAAUUAUCCGACACCCCUCCUUGUGAGCAGGUGGUGCUCUUUUGGUUCUGGGGUGAACUGCACUCACACCCUGAAAGAGAGGGAACGAUUAAUGUCCUUAUUGCCGCUUUGUCCCCUGGCAAAAUGGACACUGAAUUCCAACACCUGUGUGGCAUCUUAUCUUUGGCAGACCAGUAAAACCCUUGGGGCCGGAGGGGAGCUGUCUGUGGUGGUGACCGCAGCAGUGGCCUCUCUCCUCUCUAAUGGUCGCAAGCCUCUCUUUUGCCCAUUGAGCACAUUUUCAUUCUGGGUGCCGCACACGGAGAAAAAGGGUGAUGCUGUUCUGGGACCUGUUUAAAAAAGUGGGGCGAUCUUUGGCACUUCGUCUUUUGAAAGGGGAGAGGAGGGGGUGUCAGCCAUCGUCAAAGGAAGCACAGCCUUCACUGCUGAGAUAAGCAAGUAUAAUGCAAAGUCUCUCUCUCUCUCUCUCUCUGUUGCUUCUGAAAGGAAGCAAAUAUUCAGCGGCUCCCUGAAGAGCAAAACUCAAAGAAUUAUUAUUAUUUUUAUCAUAAAUCAGCAAAGGCUGUCAAAGGAAUCCAAAGGGAAGAAAAUCCAAGUGAAAUGAGCUCUCAUCAUUUCAGCAGAGAUGAACAUGUCUCGUGCUUGAGGAGAUACACAGAAUGACCAAAAUUAGGGCAGGGGGUUGGUCAAGGCAGGCAGAAACCCAUCAGGUCAAAUUCCAAUCACAACCUGUGAUGCUGCUUGACUCUAGAGCUGUUGAAGGCAGCUGUGCUCUUCCAGAGGAAAGAAAAACUGGUGGAGAAAAUAUUACCAUCCCUGUCAUUGUUAGACAGGCAGUGUGGUGCAGGGGUUAGAGCAUGGGUAGGCAAACUAAGGCCCGGGGGCCGGAUCCAGCCCAAUUGCUUUCUAAAUCCGGCUCUGGACAGUCCAGGAAUCAGUGUGUUUUUACAAGAGUAUUAUGUGUCCUUUUAUUUAAAAUGCAUCUCUGGGUUAUUUGUAGGGCCUGCCUGGUGUUUUUACAUGAGCAGAAUGUGUGCUUUUAUUUAGAAUGCAUCUCUGGGUUAUUUGUGGGGCAUAGGAAUUCAUUCAUUUUUAUUUUUAUUUUCAAAAUAUAGUCUGGCCCCACACAAGGUCUGAGGGACAGUGGACUGGCCCCCUGCUGAAAAAGUUUGCUGAGCCCUGGGUUAGAGUUUCAGACUAGGACCAGGGAGACCUAAGUUUGUGUCCCCCAUUCAGCCAUGAAGCUCACUGGUUGACCUUGGGCCAGUCAGCAACUCUCAGCCUAGACUACCUCACAGGGUAGUUGUGAGGGUGAAAUCAAGAGACAGGGAUGGGGUACAUUUGCUACCUUGGAAGGUAGGUAGGGUACAACUGUAAGAAAAUAGUUUGGAGGUGCAGAACCUGUGCCUCUGCAGGUUUUGUUGGACUCCAAAACUCAUCGGCCCCAGCCAGCAUACCCAAUGGUCAGGAAUGAUGGAAGUUGCAAACUUGGGUGAGCCACAAGCUCCUCAGCCCUGAAAUAAAUACAUAAAUAAAUAGGAAUUCCACCUUUGCGUUUCCACACACACACACCCAGCUGAAUUCAGGAGGAUGGAUGGUGGUUAACAGAUUGAAGUUGAAUCCUGACAAGACAGAAGUACUGUUCUGGGGAACAGGGGAUGGGUGGGUGUGGAGGACUCCCUGGUCCUGAAUGGGGCAACUGUGCCCCUGAAGGACCAGGUGUGCAGCCUGGGAGUCAUUUUGGACUCACAGCUGUCCAUGGAGGCACAGGUCAAUUCUGUGUCCAGGGCAGCUGACUACCAGCUCCAUCUGGUAUGCAGGAUGAGACCCUACCUGCCCGCGGACUGUCUCGCCAGAGUGGUGCAUGCUUUAGUUAUCUCCCGCUUGGACUAUUGCAAUACAAUCUAUGUGGGCCUACCUUUGAAGGUGACCCAGAAACUGCAACUAAUCCAGAAUGUGGCAGCUAGACUGGGGACUGGGAGUGGCCGCCGAGACCAUAUGACACCGGUCUUGAAAGAUCUACAUUGGCUCCCGGUACGUUUCCAAGCACAAUUCAGAGUGUUGGUGCUGACCUUUAAAGCCCUAAAUAGCCUUGGCUCAGUAUAUCUGAAGAAGCGUCUCUACCCCCACCAUUCUACCUGGACACGGUGGUCCUCCUCCCAAGGUCUUCUGCUGGUUCCCUCAUUGUGAGAAGUGAGGUUUCAGGGAACCAGGCAGGGGGCCUUCUCAGUAGUGGCACCCUCCCUAUGAAACACCCUCCAUUCAGGUGUCAAGGAAAUAAAAAACUAUCAGACUUUUAGAAGAUAUCUGUAUUGGGAAGUUUUUAAUGUCUGAUGUUUUAGCAGAGUGUGGAUGUCAAGUGUUGAUUUCACAAGGCUGUGUUGAACACUUCUUCCAUUUUGUGGAGUCUGCAGAUUUGAACUGGUUUAAUCUGUGUGUGACUGGUGGGGGUGAGAUCUUGGGAAGCAAGAGGUUGUGGGGCUUCAACAGAAAAUGAUAGGCACCCUCCCCAAACUCCCAAUUCCAGCUUCCAAUUUGGGCAAAGCCAUCAACAAGACCUACCAGGCACCUGCUUUUUCCUGUGGACCUUUGAGAUAAACCAGUUAAAGGGUGACGAAACUGUGAUUGCUUCUCCAAUCUCCUCCUUUGCAAGGAACUUUAUCCAGCUUCCUCCUAAUUCAGCAGCAGCUGCCCUUGGGUGGGUUUCCAGCUUGUUUCCUUGGCAACACUU